GAUGAACGCUAGCUACAGGCUUAACACAUGCAAGUCGAGGGGAAACGGCAUUUAGUGCUUGCACUGAAUGGACGUCGACCGGCGCACGGGUGAGUAACGCGUAUCCAACCUACCCAUUACUGUGGGAUAACCUGCCGAAAGGCAGACUAAUACCGCAUAGUCUUCGAUGACGGCAUCAGAUUUGAAGUAAAGAUUUAUCGGUAAUGGAUGGGGAUGCGUCUGAUUAGCUUGUUGGCGGGGUAACGGCCCACCAAGGCAACGAUCAGUAGGGGUUCUGAGAGGAAGGUCCCCCACAUUGGAACUGAGACACGGUCCAAACUCCUACGGGAGGCGGCAGUGAGGAAUAUUGGUCAAUGGGCGAGAGCCUGAACCAGCCAAGUAGCGUGCAGGAUGACGGCCCUAUGGGUUGUAAACUGCUUUUGUAUGGGGAUAAAGUCAAUCACGUGUGAUUGUUUGCAGGUACCA
rnacentral:rRNA from 1 species